ensembl:lncRNA
CGUGGGCAGCCCCUCGUGUGGCUCCGUCCCGCGUGGGCUGCGCGCUGCUCUCUCCGCUCCCACUGAGCUGUUUCGUUUCGUUUUUUGCCCGCGAUUCACCCGCGGCGCUGCUGAGGUGCGGCGGGGACACGCGUGGGCAGCGCAGUGACCCCACCCGAGGCUGAGCCCUCACCGCCGUUCCGCGGGGAAUUCUUCUUUCUGUCGCAUCGCGGUGCCUGGAAACGCGACCGUUCGUUUCCAAUCCCACCGAGCGUUCCCCCGCAUUUACCGGGAGCGCGGAGCCGGAGGCCCACGCGUGUCGGCAACGCGGAUGGCAGCGGGGAGCGCCGUGCGGGGACAGCCUGCUCCUGCAGCCCUGCUCGGGCCGGGUGAGCUCGUGAGAAGGGGGCAAAAAGCUGCAGCCGGCAUCGCCUCGGGUUGUGGCAAAUUGCGUUCUGCUGAGAAACGGGAAGAAAACGCGUGGGAACGGUCGGACACGCGUGGGUAUUGUCGGACACGCGGCCGGGGGGAGCUGAGGGGGAGUCGCGUUGGGGAACCGCAGCCGCAAAGUGUUGGGAGGGGGAAACCUCGGUGGGGCUUUCCACGCACGCGGACACGCGUGGGAACGACGAGCUCAAUCCCCGGCGUGGUCCUUUGCUUUAGGAACGCGCUCAUCCCUCGGAGCUGAGGCUGAUCGGGGGCAGCCCGGCCGCUCGCUCUCCCCGCAGCAGCCGAACAUCUUGAAGUAAUCAGCAGCUGAGAACGGAGACGUCCCCCUGGCAUCUCAGGUUAAAGGAGGAGGUCCAGGAAAAUGUGGUAGAGCCAUUACAAGAAACCUGAGAUGCAUUCAUCAGAGACUCCAAUUGCCAUCGCAUUAGGAUUGAUUAGAGACCAGCAGUACCGUAAUGACCCGGAAAGAGGGGCAUAGAGGGAUUAUUAAUGUCAGACUUUGAAACAAAAAAAAAAAAAAAAAAAAAAAAAAAAAAAAGAAAAAAGAAAAGAGAAAAAAGGAAAAAGAAAAAGAAAGGAAAAAGAAAAAAGAAAGAAAGAACAGCAAGUGGAUGGGAAAGGAGCCCUCUCCAACACAAACCUCAUUGACUAAUGGGGCGGUUUUGGGUUUCGCCUUCGAAAGGUUCGGAAAUCGGCAGCGUUCUGUUACCGCCCGCCCGGCUCCAGCCCAGAGCCCGCGGCUCUUAUCGGACACCGCUCCCAGCGCUCCCUUCUGCUGCUCCUCUCUCCAGAAACCCGCACUUUAAAAACACAUAGAGAGCUUUAGGUUUAUUUGGUAGGCUUAUUUCUAAGGCCGGAGGGGCAGAGGGGGGCCGCGUUUUCUAUCUUUCCUAUACAAUUCUUUUUUUUUUUUUUUUUUUUUCGGCGAAAUCGGUGAAAAACGGCCGAGCGCUGCCCCGGCCCCAUCCCCAUCCCCGCUCCGCAUCGAAUAAACCCGCGGAGAUGUGCGCUCCUGCGCAGGGAUCGGGGCCGGGCUGAGCCCGACCCGUACGGCACAGAACCUCCCCGAGCCGCCCUGCCGCCGUUCGGCCGUUCGCUUCGAGCUCCGUUCCUUUGCUUUUAUUCGAGCGCUUCGAAACCAUUUCUCGUCUGAAUUUAUGGGGCUAAACGGAGCGUGAGGUUCGGAAAUCCGUGCCGUUUUGCUUCUUUCGGGUGGUUUGAAGCGAAAACUUUCCGUUUGUUUUGUAGGAAAAGCAGAGGGUAACGCACGCCGCUGGGAGCGGCCCCGGCCGCAGCGCUGCCCGCGGGCGCAGCCCCGUUCGCUCCGCGGGCGCUGUGGGGCGCGGAGCGGCGCGGCCCCGGUGGGGGCUGAGCCCCAACGUUCGGGUUCGGCCUUGGGAAGGGACCGACAGGGAGAAGCCGCUCUCGUUACAAACCAGGGCUCCUCACGGCCCCGCUUUGCGUUCUUCACCCCUUAGCCCUGAAGGGACGAACCCUCAGGUCCGUGCUUCCCAAACGUCUUGGAAAAUUAGAGGAAGAGCGCAUUGUAAUAAAGGGAAAGGGACCGGGGAGCGCGUCCCGGGCUCGGUGCGGCCGUGGCACCGCUCCUGCGGGAGGCUCGGAGCCCACCGCUGUAAUUCUGCGCACUUGCUCCAGACUUUAGGGUAUUAGUUGGUGUUAGAGCCGGGUUUAAGGCUCCGUUCCGGUCCCCACGCAGCUGCCUUGUCAAUAAGGAUCUGUUCCAAGCAGACAUUCCUUCUGGGAGGACAUUGCAGCUCUUUAAGACUUCAUCUGCAACAUCACAAGCACUAAAAUAAAAUGGAAGGGAAAAUUAGCAGACACGCGGUCACGGGACACGGCGGUGCCCGAGCGGUGCAGAGCGGACAGACGGGCGGCAGCGCCUUAUUUAACCGCCCCGAGAAGAGAAAUACGUGGGAAAAACAACCACCGGGGCACGGGGGGACGGCGGCGGGGCCUGCGGCCGGGGUGCGGCGGGAGGGACCCGGCCGGGUCCACCCGGAGGGUUCGGGGCCGGGUAUCGGGUACCGGGAUGGGGGCAGCGGGAGCACCGCCGGCCACAGCUCGGAGCCCUCCCCGGCCGGGCCGUGCGGAGCUCUCACGGCGGAAUAAAUCACCCCGCUCUCAGAGAAGACAAACAGGUUUUCAAGAGCUCCUCGAUUGUUCUCAGAACCCACGGAGUGAGCCCAAACGCCGGCUGGAGGGUGCUCAAAGCGCAGCGCUCCGCUUAUCUCAGCGCGUAUAAACGCUGCCAUAAAGACACCCUCAUCCCCGCCCUUAUCUCAGCGCAUUGUCCCCAUCUCCCAGCCCGCCCCGGCUCCCGACGGCAGCUUAUCUCUGCUUGGGGAACCUAAUUGCUUUCUAAUUUUUGCAAUAAUUGCUUUGGAGCGAGGUGUGCAGAUGAGGAUUUGGGCGAAUGAAAGCGCCGCCGCCGGCUUUUCUCUUCCCCCUUCCCCGGGGGCGGCUCCGAGGGCCGCUCUCUGCCGACCUGAGCGGUCCCGGCCCGGACUCCCCCCGGCUGAGGGGGAGGCGGAGAGGUGCGGGGGGGGCCGCGCCUCCGCUCUGCUAUUCAGCGCGCGGCAUCCGCUGUGCGGCCGAGCGGUAUUUAUUCAUUCACGCCUGGAGUGAGAGUGAUGGAAGACGGGACGAGGAGGGGAGUUUAGAGAAUGGAGAAGAAAGAAAAGAAAGAAAUGAAAGUAUAUGAAAGGAAAUAAAUGAAAGAGAGAAUUAAAAGAAAAAAAGAAAAAAGAAAAAAAGGAAAAAAGAAAAAAAAAAGGAAAAAAAAGGAAAAAAAAGGAAAAAUAAAGGAAAAAAGAAAAAAUGAAGAAAAAAGAAAGUAAAAAUAAAGAAAGCAAAAGGAGAAAACAAAGAAAGAGAAAUGAAAAGGUACCAAACGAAGCGGAAUGGAAGCGGGAGAGCCGCGCAGAUGCCCGCGGGGUGCGGGGCGCGCGUUUUGCCCGGCGCUCCCCCCGCAGCCUCAGCCUCAGCCGCAC